GAUCCAUUUUAAGGGCAGUGCUUCCCUCCCUGCAUGCAAAUGUUUUCCCAAAACAAUUCCACCAUUGAUGCAUCCUGUUCUUAGCCCAUCCCAAGACAAUUGUGAUUUGUUUGUAGAGAUGCAAACACAAAGAUCUUUGUUACCCCUUUAGCAAAAUCAUGAGGUGUAGUCAGACCGUUCUACACAGCACUGUGUUAGCACGAGAGAAUGGUCUGACUAUACAGGACUUUAUACAUCCUCUGGAGAAGUGACAAAGGCAAAGAGAAAUUCUCUUUCUUUUCAGCUUUUAUAUACUUAAGAUUUCAAAGCACAUUCACCUGGCAGUGUAUGAGUCAGAACCCUUGGGUGGAAUCGGUUUGCCGUGACACACAAUGACACAUAAACUUCAAACGCAGGCUCCCACACUCUGAGAAACCACCGCAGGACAGAAAAUGCCUGGAAGCCUCUCAUCCUGGGAAAUGUCACUUUGCACAGGUAUCAUGCUAAACAUUGCUCAUUCCUUGCAAGCUUUGGUGCUUCAUGCAAAUACAGAGAAACAUACACACAAAAAACGAGCUAUCAGUGAGAUAUAUCCAAGUACAUUCACUCAAUACAUUUACUUUUUACUACAUUUAUAUUGCAACAUUGCUAGUUAAUUAUUAGCAUUGCAAUCCUGUAACUCAAUAGAUUUUUAUAAAGUAUCAGCAGCAGAAGUAGUGACAGUUUUA